CCGGUUAACCCACUCAGAGGGGGAGUAACACUUGGAAACAGGUGCUAAUACCGCAUAACAGUCUAUGCCGCAUGGCAUAAGAGUGAAAGGCGCUUUCGGGUGUCGCUGAUGGAUGGACCCGCGGUGCAUUAGCUAGUUGGUGAGGUAACGGCUCACCAAGGCCACGAUGCAUAGCCGACCUGAGAGGGUGAUCGGCCACACUGGGACUGAGACACGGCCCAG
rnacentral:rRNA from 1 species